UCUUGUAUGAGUUUUGCCAAACUGUGUCUUUCAAAGAAUCUGGCCAUUUCAUCUAGGUUAUUAAAUUUACAAGCAUAGUAUUUUUCAUAAUGUUCCUUUAUUAAUUUAUAACAUUUAUUAGACCUGUAAUAAUGUUCCCUCCUUCAUUUCUGAUAUUAAUAAUUUGUAUCCUCCCUCUUUUUUUCUUAGUCUAGCUAGAGGCUAGUUGAUUUUAUAGUUUUUUCAAGAAUAAACUUUUGGUUUCAUUGAUUUUUCUGUAUUAAUUUUAUUUGUUACUUCAUUGAUUUCUGCUGUAAUACUUUUUAUUUCAAUACUUCAUUUCUUCUCCUUUAUAACUAAUAAGAAAAAAAUUGAUAAUAAAACAAGAAGAAAUUGGCAAAUCCACACUCAUAGUGGAAGAUUUCAUACACUUCUCUCAAAAACCAACUAAACCAAUGGAACUAACCCUAAAAUAAGGAUCUAGGAGAGUUGAACAACAAAACAACAGCAAUAUAGAAUUAUGCCUCCAAAAAAGGGAAAGCAUAUGUUAUAUCUACAUAAGAGAAACCAUAUAUUAUAUAUACAAAAUGCUUAUCAUCAUUUUUUGCCCUAAUGGACAUAUUAACAAAUACCAAAUGACAACAACAAAGAAAACAGGCCAAACACAUUCAACAUAAUGGAAAACAAUGGAAAUCAACAACAUAAAUUGAGCUGAAAUUCAAACCAAAUCAUACUUCCUGUACUCAUUUCCCAGGGCUUCUAUAACAAAUUACCACAAACUAGGUGACUUCACAAAACAGAAAUUUAUUCUCUUACUAUUCUAGAGCCUAGAAGUUUAAAAUCAAGCUUUCUGCAAUGCUGUGUUCCUUCUGAAGAUGAGGGAAGAACUUUCUUCUUCUGUUUCUGGUAGCUCUAGGCAUUCCAUGGCUUGUGGUAGGAUAACUCCAACCUCCGCUUCUGCUUUCACAUAGCCUUUUCCUCUUCUCGCUUCAUUUCUCCUCUCUGUGUCCAAGCAAUGUUGCCUCUUCUUAGACCAUCCCUGAGUAUUAGUCACUUGUGAAAUGGGUGUCUUAAUCCAAGUAAGUAAAAAUGAAUGCUCCAGAGUGAAAUGCCACGUUUUUCCAAUCUAAUCCUUUAAUAAUAUUUUAUCUCCAUCAAUUUUCUAUUUUUCUAUUUCUCAAUCUACUUAUUUAAAAUUUGAAUUUUCCUUGUUGUAGCAGUAGAAACAUCACAUUGAAAUAACAUUGAAGACGGACUUAUUUAUUCUGGAAAUAUCUUUAAUGUGCCUUUUCAGUUCUGUAGAUAUAAAACAAUGUCAAAGAUAUUCUGAAAGAGAAAGCAUAUCAAGACAUUCCUUGCCUUUGAAAAACCAUGGGA
rnacentral:lncRNA from 1 species